CUCCCAGAUCCCAAGAUCCUUUGCGCGGCGCUGUUCAGUGCCGCGAAAACACAACAAUGGCGACACCAACAGGUGAAGACUUUUCAUUCAAGUGGAGCAAGGAGCAAACCGAGCUCCUGAUUAAACAAAGAGGGGAAAAUGACCAUCUAUUCACGGGGGCCAAAAACUCCGCCACGGCGGGAUGGAGAGCAAUACUGGAAAAGAUUGGGCUGGAGGGGAAGGUCCAGCCCUACCAGGCCAAAAAAAA